UGGUGCAUGGUUGUCGUCAGCUCGUGUCGUGAGAUGUUGGGUUAAGUCCCGCAACGAGCGCAACCCUUAUUGUUAGUUGCCAUCAUUUAGUUGGGCACUCUAGCGAGACUGCCGGUGACAAACCGGAGGAAGGUGGGGAUGACGUCAAAUCAUCAUGCCCCUUAUGACCUGGGCUACACACGUGCUACAAUGGGAAGUACAACGAGUCGCUAGACCGCGAGGUCAUGCAAAUCUCUUAAAGCUUCUCUCAGUUCGGAUUGCAGGCUGCAACUCGCCUGCAUGAAGCCGGAAUCGCUAGUAAUCGCGGAUCAGCACGCCGCGGUGAAUACGUUCCCGGGCCUUGUACACACCGCCCGUCACACCACGAGAGUUUGUAACACCCGAAGUCGGUGAGGUAACCUUUUUGGAGCCAGCCGCCUAAGGUGGGAUAGAUGAUUGGGGUGAAGUCGUAACAAGGUAGCCGUAUCGGAAGGUGCGGCUGGAUCACCUCCUUU
rnacentral:rRNA from 1 species